GGGGAAUUAGCUCAGGUGGGAGAGCGCCUGCUUUGCAAGCAGGAGGUCACCGGGUCGACCCCGGUAUUCUCCA
rnacentral:tRNA from 1 species